UACAGAGGUCCCAAGCGUUGUUCGGAUUCACUGGGCGUAAAGGGUGCGUAGGUGGCUUGGUAAGUUUGAUGUGAAAUCUCCGGGCUUAACCCGGAAAAUGCAUUGAAUACUAUUUGAGCUCGAGGUUUGGAGGGGGGACUGGAAUUCUUGGUGUAGCAGUGAAAUGCGUAGAUAUCAAGAGGAACACCAGUGGCGAAGGCGAGUCCCUGGACAACACCUGACACUGAGGCACGAAAGCUAGGGGAGCAAACAGG
rnacentral:rRNA from 1 species